rnacentral:ncRNA from 1 species
AAGUGAGGACGACCCCACCGCUCCAAUAUUUUUGCAGGGACGACCCUG